rnacentral:rRNA from 1 species
CUCAACGGAUAAAAGGUACUCCGGGGAUAACAGGCUGAUACCGCCCAAGAGUUCAUAUCGACGGCGGUGUUUGGCACCUCGAUGUCGGCUCAUCACAUCCUGGGGCUGAAGCCGGUCCCAAGGGUAUGGCUGUUCGCCAUUUAAAGUGGUACGCGAGCUGGGUUUAGAACGUCGUGAGACAGUUCGGUCCCUAUCUGCCGUGGACGUUUGAGAUUUGAGAGGGGCUGCUCCUAGUACGAGAGGACCGGAGUGGACGAACCUCUGGUGUUCCGGUUGUCACGCCAGUGGCAUUGCCGGGUAGCUAUGUUCGGAAAAGAUAACCGCUGAAAGCAUCUAAGCGGGAAACUUGCCUCAAGAUGAGAUCUCACUGGGAACUUGAUUCCCCUGAAGGGCCGUCGAAGACUACGACGUUGAUAGGCUGGGUGUGUAAGCGUUGUGAGGCGUUGAGCUAACCAGUACUAAUUGCCCGUGAGGCUUGACCAU